UGGAGGAUGUAUAGCUGCGGCUAAUUGUGUAUUAAUACACAAGAUCGACUCCRUCGAAUAAAAUUCUGGGUAAAUUAUGAUGAUGACAUUUUUUACCCAUGUGUCUUGACCAAAUUGUGUGCCAGCAGUCGCGGUAAUACAUAGAAGACUAGUGUUAUUCAUCUUUAAUAGGUUUAAAGAGUACUUAGACGGUAAAUCAAGCCCUAAACGGGACUAAUUUGCUAGAGUUACUUAUGAGGGGGUUUUAAAGUACUAAUGGUGUAGAGAUAAAAUUUUGUAAUACCAUUUUUCGUAAUGAAAAAUUAUGGCACUGGUAAAGGUGAAAGCAUCCCCCUAUGUGAUAACUGACGUUGAAGGACGAAGGCUUUGGGUCGCGAAUAGGAUUAGAUACCCUAGUAGUCAAAGCAGAAAAUUAUGAGUGUCAUAGAUUAGACAAGAUAGUUUAUUCUAUAAAUGAAAGUGUAAGCACUCCACCUCAAGAGUAAUUUGGCAACAUUGGAACUGAAAUCAUUAGACCGUUUCUGAAACCAGUAGUGAAGUAUGUUGUUUAAUUCGAUGAUCCGCGAAAAACCUUACCACAAUUUGAAUAUAUAUAUCGUUGAUAUAUUUACAAGCGUUGCACGGCUGUCUUCAGUUAAUGUCGUGAGACUUUGGUUAGAUCCAUUAAAUUAACGUAAGCCCUUACUUUAUUUUUAUAUAAAGUAGUUCUCCACUAUAUUGGAUAAGAUAACAGGGACUAAGACAAGUCAUCAUGGCCUGAAUAUUGUGGGCUAUA
rnacentral:rRNA from 1 species